GGGACAUUUUCCUGGAGCGGCUGGGAAAGAGGAGUCUCUCGAAAUUCAGCAACUGCUAACAGCGAGGAGGGGUUUUGAAAGGUAAAGGCCAUUAGCUUGGAGGCAGAAGACAGACCUCCCUGACUGCUGAAUUCCUGCCGGCCUGAAAUUGGAGCAUUCCAAGCUCCUCAGAUGAGUCAUAAGCCACCAAGAUUGUGAGCCUCUGGCCUCAGGCACCCUCUCCCCAUACAUUGGCAACGAUGGUCGCCAGCUGCUCAGCCAUUGACCACAACAAAAAUGAGAGUGACUUUUACCCGAUAGUGCCAGGAAAGACACAGGAAUCCUUGUUCCUCAGUUCUGAUUGGCUCAUCUUGGGGCACAUGCCCGUGCCUGGACCAGUCACUAUGGGAGAGGGGAUGUGGCACUGUCGUUGGCCUUGGGUCACCUGCCUCUCCCACAAGUUGGGGGUGGAGUCAGCUACAUCAAGGCCACCUGGCCUGAGAGGGAGCAAGCUGCGGUUCCCCUAAAAGAACUGGAGUGCUUCUCACAUAACAAGGAGUCAAGUACGAGUCACAGACGUCCUCUACAAGUGAGAUCAUCGUGUACUGUUAAUUUUAGGUAAAUCUCUCGCAAGGAUGGGAGACAAGAUGCCGCCCAGCAGGUGGAGGCCUGGAGCUGGGAGGAGGGGAAGCUAGGCGUUGUGCCAGUCAUCAGUGCCAACCGGUCCUGGCUGCAGGGAAUUCUUGGGAUCAGAAAUCUACAGUCUGAGAACUUGUCUAUAAUUUUGCAAUUUCUAUUUUCUUUGCUACAAAGCAGAGAGAAAGCCAAAAGAAAAUAAAGUUCCUCUCAAAAA
rnacentral:lncRNA from 1 species